CGCGGUAUGAGUCUCAUGACGUUGAUUUUGUUGUCUUAACCCAGUUACUGUAGUGAGCUACAGCAGCUCUGCCUCGCCUGUGACAGCUCGCCGAUACAUGCUGCAGUUAUGUAGCGGACAGAAGACGGACUUUACCCCGCUGUGACCGGCCAACGUCAGCUAAUGUCACGGUCCUCUGUCGGCGUGUGAAACGACCGCGUCUGUCAGCCAGCCAGCUAGCUAACUAAUUAGCUAGCUAGCCGCACGCUAGCAGACAAGCUGGUGUGAGUUUGCAAUGUGCUGCUGUUUGUUUUCCUCUCUGUCGUCUCGGCCGGCUAUAUAACGCAGCUGCCAGGCGGCUAACCCAGCUAGCUACCUGUUGUGUGGGGAGGGAAGCAGAAAAAAAAAAACGACAAAAAACUACACCACAUCUUUUUUCCCCCCCCACAUAUGCUGUUGGUGCUAUCAGGUGUCCGGCUAAAAGAUGUGGCAGAGUGUCGGACUCACACUGCUGGUCAUUGUGGCCACACUGGUCUGUGCGCUGCUCUUCAUGCUGUUUGGUUGGUAUGUAGUGUGGCAGCUCUUCCUGUCCAAAUUCAAGUUCCUGCGUGAACUCGUCGGGGACGCCAGCACCCCGCAGGCCGAAACGCAGCCGUCCGAAACGAAGAGCGAGCGCACAGCUAGCGCCCCGACGCGAAAUCGGCCCAGGACGGCACGCCAAAGAGUCGCCUCUCCGGAGAGCACUUCAUAGAAAAUCACCCAGACAGCCACUGUGCACCCAACGCUCUGCUCACAGUGACCGCUCAUCAGAAAUGUUUCCCACUGACCUUCUUCUCUACACUACACAAGGACGCUCAGUCAGCCCUCCUCUUCAUCAGGACACUUUAAACUGACCAGGCAGAUCUCCUGGUUUCAAAGGGAAAAGCCAUUUAUGUACAUUGAUGUCCAUUUCUGUAUGUCAUCUGUUCAUAUGUUUUAAUUAUGUACAGUCAUGUGUACUGAGUCUGAGGCUGCUUCCUGCCACCUGCUGUGGAGUGCGACGCUGCUCCAUCACACACACACACACACACACACAGAUGUUUUAAUCCUCUCACACGUGUUACAGUCUUGUGUUUUUAACUGAAGUGAGUCCCGCGUUGAACUGAGGUGGAGGAUAAAUGUUAAAAAUGACCUCGUCGACAUCAUUUCAAGAUAAAAACUGAAAAACAGACGACUUGUACAGCUGACUUGUAUGUUCCUUAAAAAAGUGCAAUGAAAGGAUCGUUCACGCUGUCAUGUUGAUGUUUCCUGCACAGUAUACUCUUUGUAUUACAGACGACCAUCCAGUAGAAGAAGAAAAUGCCCCCAGAGCCUCCCGGGCAGAUAACGAAUGACACGGCUUCAUUCCAAUUUAUACUUGAAGAGUGAGGAGAAGGUGUCGAGGACUGUUGGUGUUCAGAAGCAGCUCCGUGUGUUAUUAGCUGAUCUGGAGGAGCGUCUGAACCGUCUCCCGUUCCCUGUGCCUCUUGUCUGUACCAGUGCCUGUCGAGAUGGCAUCCACUGUUUGUACCGCGACCUCCUUUUGUAUGGCUGACAAGUAGCUCGGUUACCAUUACAGAGCAAAUCAAAGCUGACCAGGGCCUAGUCGAUAUUUAUGUGAUAAUAUUCUCCCUCCAGGUAAAACUCAUGUAACUCUUGCACCUUUUUAUCAGCUUUUAUUUUUCCUUCCUUCUUCUUCAGUGGAGCACCAGCUUCAAAUAAAUAAUGCCAUACGUAUGUCGAGCACUGUUUGUUUGUGAAGAAAAAUAAAUGAUUGGUGGCUCACCGUUC